UACGGAGGGUGCGAGCGUUGUUCGGAAUCACUGGGCGUAAAGAGCUCGUAGGCGGCUGCUCAAGUCGAAUGUGAAACCUCGAGGCUCAACCUCGAGCCUGCAUUCGAUACUGGGCGGCUAGAGUCUGGUAGGGGGAUCUGGAAUUCCUGGUGUAGCGGUGGAAUGCGCAGAUAUCAGGAGGAACACCGGUGGCGAAGGCGGGAUCCUGGGCCAGUACUGACGCUGAGGAGCGAAAGCGUGGGGAGCAAACAGG
rnacentral:rRNA from 1 species